rnacentral:tRNA from 1 species
GCGGAUAUGGUCUAGUGGUUAUGACUGCAGGUUCCCAACCUGCCAACGCGGGUUCGAUUCCCGCUAUCCGCACCA